rnacentral:rRNA from 1 species
CAUUUGUUCCCUAAAUAGGGACUUGUAUGAAUGGCCACACGAGGGUUUUACUGUCUCUUACUUCCAAUCAGUGAAAUUGACCUUCCCGUGAAGAGGCGGGAAUAAAUAAAUAAGACGAGAAGACCCUAUGGAGCUUUAACUAAUUAGUCCAAAGAAAACAAGCAUACCACCAAGGGACAACAAAAUUCUCCAUGGACUAACAGUUUUGGUUGGGGUGACCUCGGAGAAUAAAAAAUCCUCCGAGCGAUUUUAAAGAUAAGACCUACAAGUCGAAUCAAGCCAUCGCUUAUUGAUCCAAAAAAUUUGAUCAACGGAACAAGUUACCCUAGGGAUAACAGCGCA